UGUAUACCACCACCACGACGCACAUCUCGGCACUGAGGGCAGAUCUGGUGGCUGGGGCCACCCUGCAGUCCCAGAUCGUGGCUGAACUCUGUGGUCCUGUCCUCAGGCCAAUGCCAACCCUGUGAGACCUGAGAGCGUUAUGUUAUCAAAUACCACACGGGACAUCUGUAACCCUUUCAUGAACGGCCAGGACGCAGGAGGCUGUGAAUAGAUGGAGGUCCUAGGGACAAGAGCACCCUGCCCCGUGCUGAUCCAGGAGCAUUCAUCUCACCUACUGUUUGCAGGCCACUUGCCAUGGGCAGAUGUCACGCCAGUAGCUGUAUCUCCCAGUGGUAUUUCGGAGGCAGACCAGAGUCACAUCUAACACUGUCUUGAAGCCAGCCUUUUGAGAACUGGGCCCUUCCUCUUCCCCUCUGCCAUACAGUCAGUGUCUCUGCUCCUCGGAGAAGUUUCCAGGAACAUUCUUAAGAAAGUUUCUUCUACUGGGAGGAGCACCCUGCACACAGUCAUUACAGGCAACUGCUGCUACUCGCAGAAGACCCUGAGCUUCUCAGUGACGGAAGCUGCGGAGAUCUCUGCGAGCCACCGGACACGGACAGCCUUUCCCUGCCAGACCAGCCGGGGACACGCUGCUGGGAUUCAUCUCCCUAGAAGACUGGGUGAACUUGAAUUCUUCUCCCUUUCAAAGAGCUUUUUCCCCUGAAUCCCUUUUACAAUCUGAAGAAAAGGAAGAAAGCCGGAGGAAGCUUAACAUGAGAUGCAAGUGGAGCCUGAUGCUGCAGUGCGUGGCAGAAGCCUUAGCUUAGAAGCAACAGUUCUACUAGAAAUCAUGUUACAGAUUAUGUACUUCUUUGGAAUGGCCAUGAGAAAAAUGCGUUCCCACAGUAUCGUCAAAGGAACUACAUCCAGCACCAGAUUUUCCUACCAACCAAAUACAGGGGCUAAGAGUCUGGCAGCUCAUAACUUGGUACUCGUGACUCCAGCUGAUACAUUCACAUCAUAAGAAGGCAGCCAGCUCAAGAAAGAUAUCAUCAAAAUACACGCGGCAUUUUGAAACAGACACUCACUAGAAAAUGGAAGAUAGAAUCCACAGAAGAAUGGAAAGACUGGGACUCUUCCUUCGGGGG